GCAGAAAUUUGGGAGGUGUAAAGUACAUGCCAAUUCAGUUAAUUCGGCAAAAAACAUGAAAAAUGUUUAUCUGUCCUAAUAAACAACUAUUUAAUUAAAAUAGUAUAUUUUAUACUUACUAAGUUGUCAACAUUUAACAAUGUUGGUAUUUCAGGGGUUUGAGAGAGGGUUGUUCUUGUCUAGAAGGUAGAGCGAUAGAGUGGAAAGGUCAUUGAACUUGUAUUCACAAUGUCCAAGUUCAAGUUUAGCUUUUCUACUAAUUAGCUAUAGAACUUAUACCUAAAAUUUCUGGGUCAUAAAUUCUAGGAGGACAUUGUUUAUUGAUAUAUUGAAUAGGUUACAUGAAGUUCUAGGUUUGAUAGAUCAGGGACUAUUACAAAGAUCUCUGCCCUCAAAUAGCUUCCAUUUUGCUUUGUAGGAGGGAGAGGUAGGGAGAGGAGAAAGACAGUGAGUAAAAUAAAUUAACCAAAUCCUUACAAUAUGACAAAUGACAUAUGAAAUUUUAAACAAAUGGGACAGGGCAAGUGGGGAGCAGUGAUGUGUGCGUGCACAGUGGUGUCAUUGAGGUAAUAAUUAAGGUGGUGAAGGUAAGCCUCCACGUUAUGGUGGCAUUUGAGCAAAGAAGUUAGGGAGUUACCCAAGCUGGAAAUAACAUCCACACAGAAGGAAUAGGUAAAGUGUAGGUGGAGGUUUGUCUGACCUGUGUUCUAGGAAGAAGGGGCCAGUGUGGCUGGAGUGGAGUGAUCAAGGGGGACAGCAGCUGAAGGUGAGGUCAGAGAGGUAAGUAAGAUGGUGUUUUCAGUCCUGUAAGGUCUAGGAAGCCAUUGUCUUUUACUCUGUGCCAAUGGGAGGUCAAUUUGGGAUCUUGAGCAGAAGACUAAUAUGAGCAUUUUAAAGGAAUCACUCUAGCUGCCAUGCUGGGAGUAACUUGUAAAGGGGCAAGGGACAAAGUGGGAGAACUGUUAAGAGGCUACCGCAAUAGCCAGGUGACAGAUGAUGGCUUAGAGCAGGUGGCAGCGGAGAAGGUGGUGAAAAGCAUUCAGAUUCUGAAUAUAUUUUGAAAGUACAGCCAAUAAGAUUUGUGGUUGGAAAGGAUGUGGGCUAUGACAGAAAGAGGAAAGUCAAAGAGGACUCCAGGGUUUUUCAUCUGCUGAUUGGGAAAGUGGGGUUUCCCCUAACUGAAAGAACAGGUUUUGGCAAUAAGAUAAGGAGUUCAGAUUUGGGCAUGUUCUGUUUAAGAUGUUUAUUUUGCAUCAGAGGACAUACAUAUCUGGAGCUUGUGAGUGUGGUCUGAGUCAGAGAUAUACAUUUGGAGAUCAGCACUAUAUCACUGGUAUUAAAGCCAUAAUAUUGCUUUUUCUACCGAGGGAAUCAGUGUUGUUAAAGAAAAGAGCAGAAUCAAGGACUAAGCCCUGGGGCAUUACAGCAUUCAAGGGUAUGAAAGAAAGAGGAAGAACCAACAAAGGAGAUAAAGGAGUAGCCAGUGAGAUAGGAGAAAAACAUGAGAAUGUGGUGUCCUGGGAGCCAAGUGAAAAAGUGUAGCAAGAAGGAGGAAGUAAUUAACUGUGCCAAAUGCUGCUGAUAUGUGAGCAGGAGGAGGACUGGGCUGCUCACUUGGCAACAUGGUGGAUAUUGUUCACAUUCAGAGUAAACAGUUAAGACCAGUUUCACUGGAGGCAAAAAUCUGACUAGGUUGGUUUUAAUGGCAAAUGGCAAGAAAUAAAUUUAGACAGGAGCAAUAUAUCACUUCCUGGAGGUGUUUUUGUUCAGAAGGGAGGGAAGAAAUGAAACAGCCAGUGGGUUAAGUGGAAUCUGGAGGAAUUAUUGUUUCUAUUUUUUUUUAAUGUUUCUUAAAGAUGGGAGUGACACCAUCCUAUUUGCAUUUGAAUGAAAAUAAUCCAGCAGAGAGUGCUGGAAUGGUGUCAUUGAGUGGACUAUAGGGGGUGGAUUUAGUGCCUAAAAGGAAGUUGGCUUUAAGUAGGAUCAUGGAUAGUAAAAGGCAUGGAGACAGAGAUGUAAUACCUAUACUAGUAGGUGGGUAAAUAUGGUGGGUAGAAGUCUGUGGAAGUUUGCUUCUGAUUGCUUUCAUUUUCUUAGUGAAGAUAGGAAGGAAGUUUGGGUAUUUGAAAAGAGUGAAAGUGUGAAAAUGUUGUCCAGAGGACUGGGAAGCUGAAUAAUCUUGGGAAAUUAAGCUGCAAUAUCCUGGUUGUUGUGAUAUGUUAAGUAGUAUUAAGGGCAUAUUUGAGGAUACAUUCAUAAGUUUAAAGUGAGACCAUACACCAUAACUAUAUGUUUUUCUCCAGUCACACUUAGCUGUUGGGUGGAGGUUGGCACAAGCAGAGAGUUGGAUUUUAACCAAGAUUCUAGUCUUCCAAGUAAGUAUGAUAAAUCUGAAGAGGCAAAAGAGUCAAGGGUAUACAUAAGGGAACAAUUAUAAACACUGAUCAUGGAAUUUAAGCUUGGCAAGUAGGGGAAUAAUAACAUUAAGGGUGAGGGACAAUGAAAUAGUGGCAGAGGCCCCAAUGAAUUUUAAAGAUGAUUGGGUGAUGGGAUAGUAGAGAGAGUGAGCUGGAAAUACUGGAGGUGUGGUCUGAGGGUGUAAUGCAUGAAUUUAACAUUAAGAAGGGUAGCGUUUCUUUUUUUUUUUUAACUCAAUGAAUUUUAUUACAUUUAUAGUUGUACAGUGAUCAUCACAAUCCAAUUUUACAGCAUUUCCACUGCAUUUAUUUCUAAUGUGAGAUGGUUUCAUAGGGCUGUGACUGCAAGGUUGUGGUAGAAUGGUUGACAUGCUCUACAGAGAAGAGGAAAGAAAAGUUCAAGGACUUGAGAGGCAAGGGUGCAGGCAUGAUCUACUUGUGUGUCCAUAGAUUCAGGAAUUAGGGCAGAAGUAGCACUGGAGAGGAUACCUUUGAGCCAGGAGCUAGAAUCUAGGCAAAUGAGGGGGUCAGCAGAAUUAUCAGCUACUGUGUGAUAUAUGAUGAUAUGAGAUUCACGUUGGUGUUUUUAGGGAAGAGGGAGGGAAGUGUCUGAAAACAAUGAGAAAUAAGGAUGACACGUACUCAUCUCCAGGCUCAAAGAUCUGAAGGCUACAAGAGGAAAGGCAGUCUCCAACUGGGAGGUGGCUGAUAGGGUGUUCUCAAGUGAAAUCCAGGUUUUGAUGAGAGCAAAAAGGGGAAGCGAAUGUUCAAAGAACUGUUUGUGAAAAUAGAGGUGUGGCAGCUGGCCAAGAUAACAGCAUCCUCACCUCCUUGCAUUUAAGCCUUUUUUUCAGUCCCUUUCCCAUAUGAAUCAGCUGACCUGUGUGACCAAUGGAAUACUGCAGAAGUGAUGACAUGUAAUUUCUGAGGAAAGGUUUUAAAAGGCUUUGCAACUUACGCUUUGCUGUCUUAGAUUACUGUUUUUUGGUGAAUCCAUCCACCAGGCCAUGAGGACACUUAAGCAGCCCUGUGGAGAGAAGAAACUUCCCCUAACAACUACUGCCAACUUGCCAGCAUGUGAGUGAACUCCACUGAUAGCAAAUUCUUCCUCCCCAGCCAGACUUUCAGAUGACUACAGCCUCAUGAGAGACUCCAAGCUAAAAUUGUCUAACCAAGACAUUACCUGAUUUCCAGUCUGCAAAAACUAUGCUAUAUAAUAUGUUGUUUUUAAGUCACUAAUUUUUGGAGUUAUUUGCCAUGCAGCAAAUCUAUAGAUAAUUAAUACAAAGGUAUUUUGCAAUUAAAGUUAUGAAAUUCAGAAAGCACAGUGGAUGGGUCUCAGGACUGGUGGAAGGGGGAGAGAAGAUGAAAAAAUAGGGUGUGGUCAGAAAAGGUGCUUGAUAUGAUUUCAAUUUUCUUAACGUUACCAAGGUUUGAUUUGUAGCCCAGGAUGUGAUCAGUCUUAGAGAAUGUUCCAGGUGCACUUGAGAAGAAUUUGUAUUCUGUUGCUUUUGGAUGGAAUGUCCUAUAAAUGUCUAUUAAGGCCAUCUGGUCUAAUGCUUCAUGCAGGGCCUGUGUUUCCUUAUUGAUUUUCUUUCUGGAUGAUCUGUCCAUUGCUGUGAGUGGGGUGUUAAAGUCCCCCACUAUUACUGUGUUAUUGUUGAUUUGUCCUUUUAAGGUUGUUAGUAGCUGCCUUAUAUAUUGUGGUGAACCUAUGGUGGGUGCAUAGAUAUUUAAAAUUAUUAUAUCUUCUUCUUUGAUUGGUCCUUUGAUCAUUAUGUAGUGUCCUUCCUUGUCCCUUAAAAUAUUCUUCAUUUUAAGGUCUAUUUUGUCAGAUAUGAGUAUUGCUACUCCAGCUUAUUUUGAUUCCUAUUUGCAUGGAGUAUUUUCUUCCAUCCUCUCACUUUCAAUUUGUAUGUGUCCCUAGAAGUGAAGUAUGUCUCUUGAAGACAGCAUAUAUGUGGGUCUUGUUUUUGUAUCCAUUCAGCCAGUCUAUGUCUUUUGGUUGGGGCAUUUAGUCCAUUAACAUUUAAAGUAAUUAUUAACAUGUGUGUUCUCAUUGCCAUUUUAUUAAUUGAUUUGGAUUUGUUUUUAUGCUCUUUUUUCUUCCCUUCUUCUCUUGUUCUUUCCUCUUCUGGUUUGAUGACAAUCUUUAUGCUGUAUUUGAGUUGAUUUUUCUUACUUGUUUGUGUAUCAAUUGUAGAUUUUUGGUUUGCAUUUAUUCUGAAGUUUUGAUAUAAGAGUCUAUAUAUAUAAGAGAUUGUUUAAGUUGCUGGUCUCUUAAUUGCAAGUGCAUAUCCAUUGUUCUGCAUCUGUACCCUCCUCUUCUCACGAUUUCUGAUUUUGGUGGCAUAAUUGUGCAUGGAUGAUUUUGUAUCCUUACUGUAUAUAUACCUUUACUGGUGAGUCUUGUCAUUUGUGGUAUUUUCGUUUCUGGUUGCAGUCUUUUCUUUUCUGCCUAGAGAAGUUCCUUUAGUAUUUGUUGUAAGGUUGGUUUAGUGUUGCUGAAUUCUCUCAGCUUUUGCUUAUCUGUGAAGGUUUUGAUUUCUCCUUUAAAUUGUAAUGAGAGCCUUGCUGGGUAGAAUAAUCUUGGUUGGAGGUUUUUUACCUUUCAUAACAUUAAGUAUAUCAUGCCACUCCAUUCUGGCCUGCAGAGUUUCUGCUGAAAAAUCUGCCCAUAACCUUAUUGGGGUUCCCUUGUAUGUUCUUUCUUUUCCCUAGCUGCUUUCGAGAUUUUCUGUUUGUCUUUAAUUUUGGUCAAUUUGAUUAAUAUGUGUCUUGGUGUAUUCCUCCUUGGGUUUAUUUUAUAUGGUACUUGUUGUGCUUCCUGGAUUUGGGUGAGUGGUUCCUUUCCCAUGUGAGGGCAGUUUUCAGCUAUUAUCUCUUGGAAUAUUUUUUCUGUCCCUUCUCUCUCUCUUCUCCUUCUGGCACCCCUAUAAUACGGAUGUUGGUGUGUUUAACGUUGUCCCAGAGUUCUCUGAGACUCUCUUCAUUUGUUUUCAAUCUUUUUUCUCUUUUCUGUUCUGCAUCCGUAAUUUCCACUAAUCUAUCUUCCACCUUGCUUAUUUGUUCUUCCGCUUCCUGUAUUCUGCUGUUGGCUGCUUCUAGUGAAUUUUUUAUUUCAGUUGUUGUAUUUUGCAUCUCUUCUUGCUUAACUUUUAUAUCUUGUAUCUCUUUGCUCAGUGUUUUCUGUAAGUUAUCCAUUUUUGCCUCUAGUUUAUUUCCAAUGUCUUGCAUCAUCUUCAGCAUCAACAAUCUAAAGUCUUUUUCCCGGAGGCUGAGAAUCUCCUGAUCACUUAGCUGAUUUUCUGGGUUUUUUCCUUUCUCCCUCAUCUGAGUUACAAUUCUCUGUCUUUUCCUUUUUAUAGGUUUUUGGUGUGGUGACCUUUUUACAGAUAAUAGAAUUGUAGCCUCUCUUACUUCUGGUGUCUGCCCCCCUUGUGGCUGAAGUUGGCACAGGAACUUGCUAUAGGCUUCCUGAUGGGAGGGACUGAUGCUUGCCCACUGGUAGGUGGAGCUGAUUCCUAUCCCUUGGGGGGGGGGUCUUUAGGCAGCCUGUUUACUGAGGGGCGGGGCUUUGAUCCCACCUGGGUUGUUGUUUGCCCUGGAGCUUCUCAGUGCUGAUGGGUGGGGUAAGAUUUUUCCCAAAAUGGCCACUUUCAGAAAAAGGAACAGCUGAUGAAGAUUCUCAAGAGCUUUGCUUCCAAUAUCCUUCCCCCAUAACAAGCCAUAUUCACCCCUGUUUUCCCAGGAGGCCCUCCCAGAACUGCAGUCAGGUUCGACCCAGAUUCCUAUGGAGACUUUACUUUGCCCUGGGACCCAGUGCAUGUGAAUGUCCAUAUGCAUCUUUUAAGAAUGGGGUCUCUGUUUCCCCCAGUCCUGUGACUCCUGCACACAAGCCCCACUGGCCUUCAAUGCCAGAUGCUCUGGGGGCUCUUUCUCCCAGUGCCAGAUCCCCACACAUGGGAGUUUGACGUGGGGCUCAGCAUUCUCCCUCCUGUAGGUCAGUCUCCAUGAAACAGUUAUUUUCCAGUCAGUGGGGCUUCCCACCCAGGAUGUAUGGGGUUGCUUAUAUUGCAUAAUCACCCCUCCUACCUCUUGAUGUGGCCUCCUCUUUGUCCUCUGGAGUGGGAUGUCUUUUUGAAAGUUUCUGGUCUAUUUGGUUGAAGAUUGCUCAGCAUUUGGUUGUAAAUUUUGUUGUUUUUAGGAGAGAAGUUGAGCUCUAGUCCUUCUAUUCCACCAUCUUAAUCCCAUCUGUUGAAAGAAUAGGAUAUGUAAAGAGCUUUAAAAGGAUUAGAGUGUGGGAGGUGGGAGGGAGCCUGGGAAGUUGUGUGGUGGCUGACAUAAAUUAGGAUAAAUAAAAAAAUGAGAUAGUUAUCAAGACAGAUAAUGGUGGUGAGAACAUGUGUUUGGUGGUGAAGAGCAGGGAGUUUCUGGUCAUCUAUCUUCAAUGUGGAGUUUCUGGACAUCUAUCUUCAAUGUUGAUAAUGGAGAUGGAAGGGCUAGGGGAAGGUGGUCUUUGUCCCAGGGUCAGUUCACUCUUGGCCACUAGUCUUCCACAUGUGCUCUGUGUAGAUCCCUAUUAACUGUGUGUGUUGUAUACUUAUCAUUUGAUUUUCAUACUGUUAUCCUCAUGUCAUAAAUGAGAACAUGACCUAAGGAGGUUAAGUAACUGGUCUGAGGUCACAUAGCAAGUAAGGCAGAGUCAGAUUUGAACUUGGGUCUCCUGAUUUAAAAUCCUGCCCUAAGUCCAUAUUUCACCUGGACAUAAACAUUUUUAAAACCAAAGUACUUUAUUUUUCUAAGGGUAGGAUGGAAGUUGGUCAUCUCAGACAUAUAUUUGUGGAGUAUAAUUAUGAAUACUCUUUUAAAAAGCCCACAUGAUAUCCAUGCAUAAUGACAUGGAAAAGAAUCCAAUAUGAGGGCCACUGACAUCCCAUCAGAGUAAUAUCAAGUACUGGGAAGAUGCCAGCAAAUCUAAGAAAAGAGAUAAGAACCAGGAAGUACAAAAUGGAUGCUAAAUUCAUUGUUUUAUUGUCCUUCUCCCCAGUUAGAAUAUAAAUUCAAUGAGGGCAGAGCUUUGCCUUGUGCGUCAUACUCAGUAGGUGCUCAAUAAAUAUUAGUGUGUGUUGAACGAAUGAAGAUAUGGGGCUUAGCCAAAGGAAAAUAUUUUGGAUGAAAACAUCCUAAGUAACAUUUUCAGGAUAAGACAGGGGUCAGGACAAACUGAGGGCAGAGUUAUAAGGUUGAAAAAAAUUUGUCUUUAUGACUUGUUCCUUGUCAACCCUACCUGCUGAUCCAGACUCCAGGGCAGGUUCACAUUCAGAGACAUUUCAUCACAUCAUUCUUAUUGCUGUUCUUCUCCUUUAGGUCCUUUGGGAACAUUGAGAAACCAAUAGUUCUUACCUGGUGACAUAUUAGAUCAUCUUGUAUCUUAACAACAAAAUUAAAAAUGCAACAAAAAACAAUAUCUGGCUAAUUUAACUGGCUUGGGGUGGGACCCAGACAUUGGCAGUUUUUUAAAAGCUCCCUAGGUGAUUUUACUGUGUAGCUCGGAUUUAAAGCAAGUAACAGCAGGAGUUUUCUUGUGGCUCAGUGGGAUAAGGAUCUGGCAUACUUACUGCAAUGGCUCUGGCUACCGCUGUGGCACAGGUUCAGUCCCUG
rnacentral:lncRNA from 1 species